UGAUCUUUUCUAGGGCUGAUUCGGGUGGUUUUCCUUGGGAAGCAGAGAUUGGUGUCUUGUUUCUGGCCACCACAGCUGGACUAGAUCAACUCCUCCACCGGAUCUGUGAUCGUACUCUAGCCAAGAUCCUGAGAGAAGCAGAGCUUGUGUUGUGAUUCCGGCCACUACAGCUCUGGUGGGGAUUGCUCUUCUUCCUCAGAUCUGUGGUUUGCUCCGGCGAUCAAGAAGAGGUGUUGGAAGCUUCUUUUAUGUGCGGUUCCAGUGGAGCUAAUUACGGUGGAUUGUGUGGAGCAACAUUGGUUAACAGAGGACCUUGAUUGACGACGAGUUGCGCGACGUGGUGGUUCUGUUGAUUUCGGGAUAUAUCGAGGCGGGUAUUUCUUCCUAAAUUUCUAUUUAGCUCCUUGAACUUUAAAGCAUGGUUAUAUGUUUUUGGAUAUUUAGGUUGCAUUCCUUAAAUCUUAUUAUUUGUUGCUUUCCUACUUGUCUCUUUUGCUUGAUCUUUGAUAUGAUCUGGGUUGCUUCGUUACAGUCUCUAUUCUUGUUAUUUGUGACUCUAUUGUUUAUACACAUGUAGAGUGUUGUAGGGAGGACUGUAUUGGAUAUUUGUGGGCUAUACCUGUCUAGGUUGUGAUUGGUAUGGGUUAUAGGUCCUACAGGUUUACCAUUCCAUUUGCAUAGUGGUAUGUGUAGUUACGUCUGUUGUGGUUAUUGGAGGCGUUUAUGAGGGGGAAGGUUGUUGCAUGGAUGAUGAUUAUAUAUAUGUAUAUCAUGCUCAUCAUUCAUUGCAUCUGAUGACCGUUGUCUCCCUUGUGGUUGAGAAGGUCAUCAGUUGGUUUGGUUUAGCGC